rnacentral:rRNA from 3 species
GGAAGUAAAAGUCGUAACAAGGUCUCCGUUGGUGAACCAGCGGAGGGAUCAUUACCGAGUUUACAACUCCCAAACCCCUGUGAACAUACCAUUUGUUGCCUCGGCGGUGCCUGCUUCGGCAGCCCGCCAGAGGACCCAAACCCUUGAUUUUAUACAGUAUCUUCUGAGUAAAUGAUUAAAUAAAUCAAAACUUUCAACAACGGAUCUCUUGGUUCUGGCAUCGAUGAAGAACGCAGCGAAAUGCGAUAAGUAAUGUGAAUUGCAGAAUUCAGUGAAUCAUCGAAUCUUUGAACGCACAUUGCGCCCGCCAGUAUUCUGGCGGGCAUGCCUGUUCGAGCGUCAUUUCAACCCUCAAGCCCCCGGGCUUGGUGUUGGAGAUCGGCGUGCCCUCCGGGGCGCGCCGGCUCCCAAAUAUAGUGGCGGUCUCGCUGUAGCUUCCUCUGCGUAGUAGCACACCUCGCACUGGGAAACAGCGUGGCCACGCCGUUAAACCCCCCACUUCUGAAAGGUUGACCUCGGAUCAGGUAGGAAUACCCGCUGAACUUAAGCAUAUCAAUAAGCGGAGGA